CUUGAUGCACAUAAACCUCAAGAGUACCACCAACAAGUUCUUGUUGGCCGCAGCUGAUGGAAUCUUUUCCAUUGGAUUUGAUGCUGUUUGAUUGGUUUCUAGAGCUCUGCACAGAAGCUGAGUUGUCAUUCUCGGACUCACCAGUCUUGAAUGGUGAAACAACUGAUUGUGGGGAGUCCAUAAGAAACGAUCCUGCAAAAACAUAAAAGGCCAAAAAAAAAUUGAACACAUAGAGAAGGACCCCAUCAAGAAUCAACAUAGCCAAAAUCCACAGAUCAAGUUGAGACAACAACGUAAGACCUAACUAGAGAUAUGUUUAAGUAGGAGUCUUAAUUUCAAUUCAAACUCUAAACCAAGUCAAAUAAUCCAUGAGAGGGUUCAAUAAAUAAAGGAAUAGACUUUUAUCUUAGUGACAACAACGGACGACCUAACUGAAAGUUUCAAACUGUUUUGCUUGUUCCAAUCAGACAAGAGAGCAAAAAUUCAAAACUAUGUCACAGCUCCCACUCAACACAAACAAAGAAGGUGUGAUUACUUCAAAAAAAA